UACGUAGGGGGCAAGCGUUGUCCGGAAUCAUUGGGCGUAAAGCGCGCGUAGGCGGCCCGGUAAGUCCGCUGUGAAAGUCCAGGGCUCAACCCUGGAAAGCCGGUGGAUACUGCCGGGCUAGAGUCCGGAAGAGGCGAGUGGAAUUCCUGGUGUAGCGGUGGAAUGCGCAGAUAUCAGGAAGAACACCAAUGGCGAAGGCAGCUCUCUGGGACGGUACUGACGCUGAGACGCGAAAGCGUGGGGAGCGAACAGG
rnacentral:rRNA from 1 species